CCUACGGGCGGCAGCAGUGAGGAAUAUUGGUCAAUGGGCGCGAGCCUGAACCAGCCAAGUAGCGUGAAGGAUGACUGCCCUACGGGUUGUAAACUUCUUUUAUAAAGGAAUAAAGUGAGGCACGUGUGCCUUUUUGUAUGUACUUUAUGAAUAAGGAUCGGCUAACUCCGUGCCAGCAGCCGCGGUAAUACGGAGGAUCCGAGCGUUAUCCGGAUUUAUUGGGUUUAAAGGGAGCGUAGAGGGUUUGUUAAGUCAGGUGUGAAAGUUUGCGGCUCAACCCUAAAAUUGCCGUUGAUACUGGCAGUCUUGAGUACAGUAGAGGUAGGCGGAAUUCGUGGUGUAGCGGUGAAAUGCUUAGAUAUCACGCAGAACUCCGAUUGCGAAGGCAGCUUGCUAACCCGCCACUGACAUUGAUGCUCGAAAGUGUGGGUAUCAAACAGGAUUAGAUACCCCUGUAGUC
rnacentral:rRNA from 1 species